rnacentral:lncRNA from 1 species
CUGCAGCUCUCUGAACAGUGGAGCCAAGUAAUAAAAGGGCAGCUUUGUCAGAUCUCAAAGUUGGAGAAUUGUGCUGAGAGGGAGUUGGCCUGGAUCCUUUGCCUUCAUGUAGUUCUUGGCAAAUGACAUGUGGCAAGUGGCAACCGAGAAAGAAUGCUCUCUGCAGCUGAUUCAGGAGAAUCUUCCUGAGACUUUGGACUACUCCAUCUUAGCCUUGUGCCAGGUUAACACCACUGCUGCUUUCUGCAAAAGGAGCCAAGCAAUAAAAGGGCAGCUUUGUCAGAUCUCAAAGUUGGAGAAUCGCCCUGAGAGGGAGUUGCCCUGGAUCCUUUGGCUUCAUGUAUAUGUGACAAACUACCCAGCUGAUGUUUUCACCUGAGAGAAAAAGGUAACUAAAAUAUCAC